AGCGAACGCUGGCGGCAGGCUUAACACAUGCAAGUCGAACGGGCGUAGCAAUACGUCAGUGGCAGACGGGUGAGUAACGCGUGGGAACGUACCUUUUGGUUCGGAACAACACAGGGAAACUUGUGCUAAUACCGGAUAAGCCCUUACGGGGAAAGAUUUAUCGCCGAAAGAUCGGCCCGCGUCUGAUUAGCUAGUUGGUGAGGUAACGGCUCACCAAGGCGACGAUCAGUAGCUGGUCUGAGAGGAUGAUCAGCCACAUUGGGACUGAGACACGGCCCAAACUCCUACGGGAGGCAGCAGUGGGGAAUAUUGGACAAUGGGCGCAAGCCUGAUCCAGCCAUGCCGCGUGAGUGAUGAAGGCCCUAGGGUUGUAAAGCUCUUUUGUGCGGGAAGAUAAUGACGGUACCGCAAGAAUAAGCCCCGGCUAACUUCGUGCCAGCAGCCGCGGUAAGGCACGACUGU
rnacentral:rRNA from 1 species